rnacentral:rRNA from 1 species
AUUGAACGCUGGCGGCAUGCCUUACACAUGCAAGUCGAACGGCAGCACGGGGCAACCUGGUGGCGAGUGGCGAACGGGUGAGUAAUGCAUCGGAACGUACCUUUCAGUGGGGGAUAACGUAGCGAAAGUUACGCUAAUACCGCAUAUUCUGUGAGCAGGAAAGCAGGGGAUCGCAAGACCUUGCGCUGAUUGAGCGGCCGAUGUCAGAUUAGCUAGUUGUUGAGGUAAAGGCUCACCAAGGCGACGAUCUGUAGCGGGUCUGAGAGGAUGAUCCGCCACACUGGAACUGAGACACGGUCCAGACUCCUACGGGAGGCAGCAGUGGGGAAUUUUGGACAAUGGGGGCAACCCUGAUCCAGCCAUGCCGCGUGGGUGAAGAAGGCCUUCGGGUUGUAAAGCUCUUUCGGCCGGGAAGAAAUCGCACGGGCUAAUACCCUGUGUGGAUGACGGUACCGGAAUAAGAAGCACCGGCUAACUACGUGCCAGCAGCCGCGGUAAAAC